GGCCCAAGUUACCCACAUUUCUGCCCAGCUGACUACAAAUUCUGGUUUCCAUGACCCCCUCUCAGGUUUGAUAGUUUGCUAGAACAACUCACAAAGUGAAGGAAAAUGGUGUACUUACUAUUACUGGCUUAUUAUAAAGGCUACAACUCAGAAACAGCCAAACGGAGGAGAUGCACAGAGCAAGGUGACCAGUCCGCAUCCUGAUACUAUCUCGGAGUCCCCCAGCCAAGAAUCAUCUCAUCAGCAUAAACUCAGGCAAUGUUGAAAGGCAUUCAGAAUGGUACUGGCCAUGUAACAUCCUCAGGAAAAUGGAGAAAGGAGUCACAUCAUCUUCUGUGUUUGGAGACUGCUAUGUAAGCCAGAAUACUAGUCACACAGUGCAGGUGGGAGCGGCCGGGAAGUAACCUCCUUUUUUUUUAAGACUAAUACAUUUAUGGUAUACACCUGAA
rnacentral:lncRNA from 1 species